rnacentral:rRNA from 1 species
GAUGAACGCUAGCUACAGGCUUAACACAUGCAAGUCGAGGGGUAACGAGAGGAAAGCUUGCUUUCCUUGUCGACGACCGGCGCACGGGUGAGUAACGCGUAUCCAACCUGCCCCCAACUAGGGAAUAACCUUGCGAAAGUAAGACUAAUACCCUAUAAUUUCCUCAGAUGACAUCUGACGAGGAAUAAAGAUUUAUCGGUUGUGGAUGGGGAUGCGUCUGAUUAGCUUGUUGGCGGGGUAACGGCCCACCAAGGCAACGAUCAGUAGGGGUUCUGAGAGGGAGGUCCCCACCAUUGGAACUGAGACACGGUCCAAACUCCUACGGGAGGCAGCAGUGAGGAAUAUUGGUCAAUGGGCGGAAGCCUGAACCAGCCAAGUAGCGUGCAGGAUGACGGCCCUAUGGGUUGUAAACUGCUUUUAUACAGGAAUAAAGUUAGCCACGUGUGGUUAUUUGUAGGUACUGUAUGAAUAAGGACCGGCUAAUUCCGUGCCAGCCGCCGCGGUAA